AACAAUGAAUAGGAUAUAACAAUGUAAAAACAAACACAGUUCUGAUACAAAUAUCUGAUCAAACUGUUGAAUAUUUCGUAGAAAAAAAUGUUUUACGUGCCAGAAUAUAGGGUUUGAAUUGCUGUGAAAGUAUUCCACCCUCGCAAAUCACAAGAGAUACCCGUAAAAGGGUUAUUAUCGAAUGCAUGAAGGUAAUUGUGUUCAUGUCAAAGUAACCCAGGGCCGGCCAGGAAACACCCGCGGAGACACACAAGCACUCUAUUCUCUCAAAAUCAAUGUGAAUCCAACGGAAAUGAAUAGGAAUGCAGAAUAUCGGAUGACCACCUGUGGAAGUCAAGAGUGGUGGACGAUCGCUUCUAAGAACUGAAGUCGCUUUAAAACGAUACAAUAACGACGCCUCACUGUCUGAAGGUCUGCCCAUUCAUGUAUCCACGUUCAUUCAUAAUUUAGCAACGGACCGCCAUGAAUGAAAUAUAGAUUCCAUUGAAUAUAUACCUCGUCUAUUGUACGUUCUUAAGAGGCUUGUUUGCGGUACAGGUAAUAACCGAGUUACAUCGGCAGCUCUUUUAAAUUAACGUAAUCUCUGAGCCUUUGUCGUAAGGUUGAUUUUAAUUUGAUUUUUAAUUUUGAAAGGUGUAAGGUUUGAUUGCACGGUGUGCAGAUCGUAUAUUUGGGUGCUAUUGUGAAAAUUUUUAAGUUCAUUAAAGUUAAACGAAUGAUACAAUGAUAUUAUAGUAAGUGCAGUUUGACUUUGAUGGUGUUGAAGUUUUUAAAUCCACUUUUAUAACAAUUCAGUUUGAGCUAAUUUUAUUUGGAGAAAAAUAUAAAUAAUUAAAUAAAUAGGUGCACCUAUUCAUAAUAAACAUUCGCGGGCACUUAUCCCGA